rnacentral:rRNA from 1 species
CCUACGGGUGGCAGCAGUAGGGAAUCUUCCACAAUGGGCGAAAGCCUGCUGGAGCAACGCCGCGUUGGUGAAGAAGGUCUUCGGAUCGUAAAACCCUGUUGUUAGAGAAGAAAGUGCGUGAGAGUAACUGUUCACGUUUCGACGGUAUCUAACCAGAAAGCCACGGCUAACUACGUGCCAGCAGCCGCGGUAAUACGUAGGUGGCAAGCGUUAUCCGGAUUUAUUGGGCGUAAAGGGAACGCAGGGGGUCUUUUAAGUCUGAUGUGAAGGCCUUGGCCUUAACCGGAGUAGUGCAUUGGAAACUGGGAGACGUGAGUGCAGAAGAGGAGAGUGGAACUCCAUGUGUAGCGGUGAAAUGCGUAGAUAUAUGGAAGAACACCAGUGGCGAAAGCGGCUCUCUGGUCUGUAACUGACGCUGAGGUUCGAAAGCGUGGGUAGCAAACAGGAUUAGAUACCCCUGUAGUC